GACGAACCGUGCGAACGUUGUUCGGAAUCACUGGGCUUAAAGGGCGCGUAGGCGGGCUGUCAAGUCUGGGGUGAAAUGCCGCGGCUCAACCGUGGAACUGCCUUAGAUACUGACGGCCUCGAGGAAGGUAGGGGCAUGCGGAACUGUAGGUGGAGCGGUGAAAUGCGUUGAUAUCUACAGGAACUCCGGUGGCGAAAGCGGCGUGCUGGACCUUUUCUGACGCUGAGGCGCGAAAGCUAGGGGAGCAAAGCGGGG
rnacentral:rRNA from 1 species